ACGUAGGGUGCAAGCGUUAAUCGGAAUUACUGGGCGUAAAGCGUGCGCAGGCGGUUAUGUAAGACAGAGGUGAAAUCCCCGGGCUCAACCUGGGAACUGCCUUUGUGACUGCAUAGCUAGAGUACGGUAGAGGGGGAUGGAAUUCCGCGUGUAGCAGUGAAAUGCGUAGAUAUGCGGAGGAACACCGAUGGCGAAGGCAAUCCCCUGGACCUGUACUGACGCUCAUGCACGAAAGCGUGGGGAGCAAACAGGAUUAGAUACCCUGGUAGUCCACGCCCUAAACGAUGUCAACUGGUUGUUGGGUCUUCACUGACUCAGUAACGAAGCUAACGCGUGAAGUUGACCGCCUGGGGGGUACGGCCGCAAGGUUG
rnacentral:rRNA from 1 species